GGCGGUUUCAAGGAUCCCUUUAUUUCGGGGUCUGCGGGGGUAGGCGGGGCCGCCGGCGGGGGCCUCCUUGAAACCGACUAAUUGGGAUCCUAGAGGCGGAGGUGAGGCUGGAGGAGGCACAAAGGCGUCCGCGAAAGGAGCAGCAGUCGGAGGGGCAGGAGGCGCAGAGUUGUAACUCGGCGGGCGCAAGCCGAGUUCGCACGGGCCGGAGCCGGGCAGGGCCGGGCGGGACCGGGGCUGGCGCUCCCGAGCAGCAUGCGGCCCCGCCUGCUGCUGGCACUGCUGCUUCUACCGCUGCUGUUGCUGCGCGCGCACGCCGAGCGGGGCCUGUCGGUGCCGGAGCACGGCUUCUGCCAGCCCAUCUCCAUCCCGCUGUGCACCGACAUCGCCUACAACCAGACCAUCCUGCCCAACCUGCUGGGCCACACAAGCCAGGAGGACGCGGGCCUCGAGGUGCACCAGUUUUACCCGUUGGUGAAGGUGCAGUGCUCGCCUGAGCUGCGCUUCUUCCUGUGCGCCAUGUACGCGCCCGUGUGCACCGUGCUGGAGCAGGCCAUCCCGCCGUGCCGCGCCAUCUGCGAGCGCGCGCGUCAGGGCUGCGAGGCGCUCAUGAACAAGUUCGGCUUCCAGUGGCCCGAGCGCCUUCGCUGCGAGCUCUUUCCCCGCCACGGCGCCGAGCAGCUGUGCGUAGGCCAGAACCGCUCGGAGGAUGGCGCGCCCGGCACCGCGCCGCCCGGGCCUGCGCCCGACACCGCGCCCGCUUCCCCCGCGCCGCGCCCGCGCCCCGCCGCGCCGCCCGCAUCCCCGUUCCGCUGCCCACGCGUGCUGCGCGUGCCCGCUUACCUCAGCUACCGCUUCCUGGGCGAGCGCGACUGCGCCGCUCCCUGCGAGCCCGCGCGCCCCGACGGCGCGCUCUUCUUCUCGCAGGAAGAGACGCGGUUCGCGCGCCUCUGGAUCCUCACGUGGUCCGUGCUGUGCUGUGCCUCUACCUUCUUCACCGUCACCACCUACCUGGUGGACAUGCAGCGCUUCCGCUACCCCGAGCGCCCCAUCGUGUUCCUGUCCGGCUGCUACACCAUGGUGUCUGUGGCCUACAUCGCGGGUUUCGUGCUCCAAGAACGCGCCGUGUGCAAUGAGCGCUUCUCGGACGAUGGCUACCGCACGGUGGUGCAGGGCACCAAGAAGGAGGGCUGCACGCUUCUCUUCAUGGUGCUCUACUUCUUCAGCAUGGCCAGUUCCAUCUGGUGGGUCAUUCUGUCGCUCACCUGGUUCCUGGCCGCAGGCAUGAAGUGGGGCCACGAAGCCAUCGAGGCCAACUCGCAGUAUUUCCAUUUGGCCGCCUGGGCCGUGCCGGCCGUCAAAACCGUGGCCAUUCUGGCGCUGGGCCAGGUGGACGGCGACCUGCUGAGCGGUGUGUGCUUUGUGGGGCUGCAAAGCAUGGACCCGCUGCGCGGCUUCGUGCUGGCGCCGCUCUUCGUGUACCUGUUCGUGGGCACGUCCUUCCUGCUGGCCGGCUUCGUGUCGCUCUUCCGCAUCCGCACGGUCAUGAAGCACGACGGCACGAAGACGGAGAAGUUGGAGCGCCUCAUGGUGCGCAUCGGCGUGUUCAGCGUGCUGUACACGGUGCCGGCCACCAUCGUGCUGGCCUGCUACUUCUACGAGCAGGCCUUCCGCGAGCGCUGGGAGCGCUCCUGGGUCAGCCAGCACUGCCGCAGCCUGGCCAUCCCGUGCCCCGCGCCCCACGCGCCGCGCGCCGCACCCGACUUCACGGUCUAUAUGAUCAAGUACCUCAUGACGCUCAUCGUGGGCAUCACGUCGGGCUUCUGGAUCUGGUCCGGCAAGACGCUGCACUCAUGGCGCAAGUUCUACGCGCGCCUUGCGCGGCGCCGGCGCGGGGAGACGACGGUGUGAGAACUCGGGACCUCGGCGGACCCCAUCCCGGAGCCGGCCUUGCCCCUGCCAGGGAUCGAACUCACGACUGCCUGCUUGCAAGGCAGGCGCUUAUGCCGCUGAGCUAAACCUCCAGCCCAAGAGUCUAAUUGUUAUUGUAAAAAAGAGGAAAGGAAGGUGGACUAAGGGAUAUAACCACAGGUAUGUUCGAGUGUGUAGGAUGGAAAACCAUAUUACUGAGCUUUUGUUGGAUCAUUGAAUGGAACUGUCUACAAUGUCACUGUAUGAAUGUCCACUUUAUAUGCUUUAAUUUUGUAAUUUGGACAACUGUUUCUGGGAAGACAAUAUGUAACCGAUCAACUGGUGAUUUCUUACUGUAUAUUUUUUUCUUGAAAUUCUCUAUUACUUGUACCCUUUUACUGCUAAGUUUUUUCAUGUCAUUUUUUUUUCUCUUUAAAUAAAAAAAGAAAAGAAAAGAAAUUGACUCAGGGUACCCAGGAGAUGAUAACCAAAAAUGGGAAAAGAAGUUCUGAAUAAGUAAAAGAGUGUAUGCAAGUGAAUGAUUGGGCUAAGUGAAAGAACGGGACACAAAAGUAGCCAGUAUUCUUAAGACAAAAUAAAAUUUUAUGUAUAUUUUAUACAUAUAUAUAUAUAUGACAAAAGGUUUUUGUUUCAAAUUUUUCCUGCAAGGUAUCUCUGCUAAUUGAACUGCAAAAAAUUCUGACUAGUCUCUUUAUAAUUACAAACUUCUAAAAUUAUAAAAGAGUUAUAAUUUGGCCAAAAAUAUAUUUGAGUGCACUCUAAUUCUGUAAGCAGAUUGUCUAUGUAUCUGUUUGUUUGUUUAUCCAAUCUCUAAACAGCUUUUUUAUUUGAACUCAACAAAUUUUUCUGCUCUUUGAAGUUUUGGAUUUGGUGUAUAAUAAAUGUCCUUAAAAUUAUAAAUGGGCUUCCACUUAGGUGCCAGCUGGUGGAAAUGAUGUUAAGUUGGUUGUAGAAAUGUAAUGCAUACUAUUGUUUAUGUAUUAUGGCUUGAGAAUCUCUUAUUGUUCAAAAAAUAAUGUGUUGAGCAUUGUGAUCAGGUUCUCAUCAGUCAUCGAAAAAUUUGUUAAGAUAAUUAAAUAACAAUACCUUAGGGUGAGGAGGACUAUUGUAUAGGACUCUAGUUGAUAAGAAAGAUCAGUUCUUGUUCAUUAAUGGGAAACCAAAGCUAUUGCCAUAGCUUUAUGAGAGUACUCCAAAAAUGUUGCUCAAAAUAUAUUAUUGUGAUGUGUUUACAUUGGUCAUCAUCAAAUGGUUAAGUUUUUCUAGAAAUAAAACAAUAAGGUUUUCUGAUUUAAAGAUGCUCUGCUGCAAAACUAAAUCAAGAACCAAAGUCUUCAUAUGACUAUGACAAUUGAUUGUUUUUUUAUCUCAUGGUGUAUUAAAUGUAUUCAUACCUUCUGGAUAUGCAGAUCUUCCAAAAUGCAAAACUGAGAUUAUUUAUGGUGGUGGACUUCUCUUUUUUUCUCUUUCUUUUUUUUUUGUACCAGUAAUUGAAUUCAGGAAGGCACUGUGCCACUGAGCUGUAUCCUUGGACCUUGAUAGAAUUUUCUUUCAGAUUCAGACACCCGCCUUUCUCUUGUGUUCCAGCUCCUAGUGUCCUAACGUUCAUGCCAAGCCAACAUGAGGUCAUCAGUCAAUAAUAAUUUUAACAAAAACAUUAUGUGGUAUGUAUGUUGUGUAUGUGCCACUAUAUUUAGAGAUGUUUAGAUAUUAAGCAGUCCAGACAAUGGCACAUACUUCAGUGACAUCAGUGGAAGGACAACAAAUCAGGUGGGAGCUUCUUAUGUAUCAGGUAGAGACUGACUAAAAAGGCUAAUUUAUACCAAAAUGGAAAUUUAAAUGUGUUAUAAAAUUUCAUAUUGUCAUGCUAAAAUAUUAUGGAUGGCUUUUGAUUUCAAUAUAAAAUUGUAUUACUGUUGCCUGUUAAUAUUCUAUAGGGAUUCAACUAUUAAAACACCCAUGGUGGUGGGAAAUAGUGGCUCACUUUGUAGUUCAAGGUGCUUGAUAUUCAGAUAAAAUUAUAUGAAGUUCAAUGCUCCCAUUAAUGUCAUUAACCUUCUCUUCUGGCUGUUCAGCAACUGAGGUUUGGAGAUAAGAAACUAGAAAGAAAGAUGGGGUAGGAGGGUGUCCAAUAUUUUGGCCCCAGCCUUCCAAGAUCAGUAUUAUGGCCCCAGGAUGUAAGAGAACCUCUGCUGUGACAUCUAACUUGGUGGGGCCCAACCUCCUAACCAAGGAGAUUGUUAGACACAGAGGAAGGAGAUCAACAGUGUGUAGUGUGCCUAAGGAGAGUUACCAGGAGAGAACAGUUUCCCAAGCUUUCAUAGAGAACAAUUUGGUCAAGCCAUGGCCAUGACUCAUCCAGACAGCUGACACUGAGGGAGUAGUGAGAGGUGCUUCCAUGGUUCCAAGGUAAAUCCCAAGGAGACUUAACUGACCUUGAUAGAUAGCAAGAAAUUAAUUUUCAUUAACAAAGGUCUCACUUUAAUUUGGUCUUAAACACCCAGCAGAAAAGUAUAACCACAAGAUGUAUAAAAAAUGCCAUAGUACAGUUAGUGUUGUAACCCUAGCACUCAGAAGGCUGAGGCAGGAGAAUCACUGUAAGUUCGAGACCAACCUGGGCUACAAAGUGAGCUUAGGGCCAGCUUGAGCUGCAUAGUGAGACCCUGUCUCAAAAAGACAAAAAAAAAAAAAAAAAAAAAAAAAAGAAAGCCAUAGUAAUAUGCUAGCUAUCAAAGAGGCUCACCUCACUGACACCUUUUAACAACUUCCACUUACACUGGUAACUGACUACUGUUACAGGUUAACAGGCUGCUUUGGACUAAAUUGCUGAAUGCAGGGACCUGAAACCCUUAUGAAAGGGUUUUGGGCCCAGACUGGAUACUGUAGCCGGUAAAGCCAAGGAGCUUCUAUUUCCCCCACCCUUAGGAAUCUACCUCUGGCGCCAAACUAAGACCAAUGGGCUACCUGUGCAUCCCUAAUGCCCCCCUUAGGUUCCACCCCAAGCCAAGGCUACUUAUGUGCCUCACUUCACGUGUUCCACGGAGAGAUUGAUGGCCCCCGGGGUGGAAAUGCCAUGCCCCAGGGGGUCGGGGGUGUCUCUCCCGCAUUCUCAAAAUAAAGGUUAUUUAUAUUUCAUACUUCUUAUCUUUUCAGCCGCCACCAAUCCUCCCCCCACAGUUCUAUCACCUUGGACUGGGGAUCUUUAGCCUAGAUGGAUAAGUUCACUCAGAAUGGAAAGCAUUCAGGAAGGUGAAGGCCUUCACAGGGAAAAGUUUGGCCAGGGACCCCUGGGAGAAGAAAAGCCUUUCACAAUAAAGGUCUUUUGCAGAAUCCUCCAAACAGAGCCCUUCCAGCUCCAUCUGACCACCCGUCACUUGUAACUCCAAGAUGGAAAAGGGAGAGACGUGAGGAGUGGCCAACCCUGAGAAUACAGAGUGCUGACAAGUCCUUAGGCAGCUCUUUCCUCCCUUAGGAGAGAGUCUGUCCUGUCGCCAGCCUCUUGCCGAGGUGCAGACAGAUUGACUGCACAGUUGGGGAGUGCCUUUCUCCAGGAGUGGGGCCUUCCCCUGGCCUCCGCUUUUUGCAUUCUGACUCAUCUUCAUUUCUUCACCCCUACCAUCCUUCCCCGGGGGAAUUUCAGGAAUUGCACUGGAUGUGGCGAUGGCAGGCUGAACCUGGGAAGUCUCAGUUUAUCUAGCAAGUGUGUUUCUGUGUGUGUGUGUGUGUGUGUGUGUGUGUGUGUGUGCAUGUAUGAAAUCUGUGAAAAAAGUAAAAUAGGGGACAACAUGCAGUAUGCUCUUGUGAUUGUGAAACAAUUUGGAACUAAAGGGAGGUGGAUGGGUGACAUCAUGAAUGUGCUAAAGCCAAUAAAAUGUUCACUUUAUCUUACCUUUCCUUUUGUCUUUUGAGAAAGACUCUCACUGCACAGCUCAGCCUGACCUUGAACUCAUUGUGUAGCCCAGACUUCUGGAACUCACAGUGAUCCUCCUGCCUCAGCCUCUGCUAUUAGCAUGGGUAUGCAAUUUCCACACUGCUGCUCACAGAAGGACUACACAGUCCUAGGGUGACAAGGGCCCCAUGCAGAGGCCAUUGUGUGUACCAGCCUCACUGCCACGCAGCCAUGCGGUCUUAUCUCAGCCUUGCUCUCUGAGUCACGUGUGGCUGUGCCCUGUUGUACUUCCUCAAAAAGGCCCCUGAGAUGGAAAAAAGACAGGGCAAGAUGACAUCGUUUUAAGAAGCGCUUUUAUUUUAGCUGGCCCAGUGACACAGUGCAGAUGGAAUUUGCAAAGCUGUGCAAGUGAGUUAGAGUUUUGACUGAUUUUUAUAGUUCAUUUAUGAUUAGCUCAUUGAUCAUUAAGUACAUAGUGAUGAGAAACAGAAACAAGGUGGGCCUUUGUUCCCCUUUGUUUGAGGUCAGAGGCAUUUCACAGUAGGUGGUUAGCCAUUCAUAGCCCUUGGUCUGCCAAUUCCAGAAACAUUUGUCUCUCAUAAAGGGAACAAUGGUUAACAUAGCACACAGGUUACUUGGGGGACAACGCAUACAGAACAGCGAGACGAUGCGGUCAGUUAAUCUAUAAUUAUGUGGUUGGUGGUUGGUUACUAGGAUAAGGAGCUCAGUACAGAAUGACAAUACUGCUAAUAACUAUCCUUUUAACCUAUUUUUGCUAAUUAUCUUUUAAUCAACUAUUUUAAUUUUUCAGCAUCUUAGUAUAACAUGCCCCUUGGGGGGGGGAACACGCCAUGAUUGUGGGGACUCCUGUGUCAGCUCACCAGGGGCUUGCUGGGGUCAAGCACAGGUGGAAGUUUAUUUAUCACUUGAUUUACACUACUGGGGGUCAAGUCCAGAGUCCCCUGCCAUGCAGCAGCAUCCCUGGUUCCUUUCCUCUUCUUAAAUUUUGAGACAGAAUCUCACUAAGCCACCCAGGUAGGAUUUGAACCCCUAAUCCUCCCGCCUUAGCCUCCCUGUGUUCUGGGGUGACAGGCAUAGGCCACCAUGGCGGGCUCCAGCAUUUUCUGUUUGAUUGUUAUGCUUGGGCUUUGCAGCAGUCAGUGCUUACUGGAGAAACAGAUUUAAUCCACGCUAUGCGAAUUCUAGGAAUGUACAAGGUCGGCUUGCAGCGGGACGCAGGAGUUGGGAAGAAUCCAGGCCGAGGCCUGAGCUCCAGGCAGUGUCCUGCGUGGGGGGCCAUCGGGAAGCCAAAGGGUCUGUGCUGCAAGCCCAGCGACAACAUUGAAGGCGAAGGUGAGGCCUGGAGCUCCUCCGUGGAGACAGCAAGGCUGCCUCGCCUUCCCCUUCGCACCGCCAGGUGCAGCCUCCCAGGGUCUGUGGGCUUCAGUGACCCCUCAGCCACGCCCAGGUCCCCCGCAGAUGUGGUUCCGCUGGGUUAAAGUUUGUGACUCAGGGUGACACAGCCAGCCAAGUACCACAGGCUCUGCUGUGUUCCUUAGUAAGUUACAGCAGUGUUCAGCAGCUGCAGGAUUUGCUCCUUUGCUUUGGUACCAAGGAUCAAACUGCCAGGCAGAUACUCAUGCCGCUGAGCUCCGUCCUCGCCCUUUCCCUGACUUCACCAGCCAAGAUUCCCGAGGAAAAAGCCCCUUAUUUCCCUGUGCAGGUGCCUGUCUGCCCCCGCAGCAGCACUGACGUUUGGAGCCGCCCUUUCGGGGAGCAGGGGGCGUGGAGGGACCCGCGAGGGCCUGCAGCCCACUGCACUGUGCCUGGGAGCAUGUGAGUUUCACACCAGCGAGGCAGGUGCCCCAUCGUGCUGUUUUGGUCUCUUUUGAAAUCCUUCUCAUAGCAAAGUAAUAGAGGAAGCUGGGCAUGGUGUGCAUGUCUGUAAUCCCAGCACCUGGAGAGGCUAAAGCAGGAGAAACAUUGCUUGGGCUACAAAGUGAGCUCAAGGUCAAUUUGCAUGGUGACAUCCUGUCUCAAAAAGACAAAAAAGAAAAAAAAAUAAUAGAGGAAGUGCUGUUAUUUAUCCAUGUGUUUCCUGCAUGGCCCACCAGGCCACAGGG